rnacentral:rRNA from 1 species
UACGUAGGGUGCAAGCGUUGUCCGGAAUUAUUGGGCGUAAAGAGCUCGUAGGCGGCUUGUCACGUCGGGUGUGAAAGCCCGGGGGCUUAACCCCCGGGUCUGCAUUCGAUACGGGCUAGCUAGAGUGUGGUAGGGGAGAUCGGAAUUCCUGGUGUAGCGGUGAAAUGCGCAGAUAUCAGGAGGAACACCGGUGGCGAAGGCGGAUCUCUGGGCCAUUACUGACGCUGAGGAGCGAAAGCGUGGGGAGCGAACAGG